AAUAGAAGUUUUAUUAAAAGAAAAAGGGGUGAAAAGAACAAAGUUUUGUCCAUCUUUGUUCAUCAUAGCUGAAAGUUAGAGAAGAGAAAGGAGAGGAGAAAGCUCUUGAGUAUUCGGUCAUUAGGAGGAGGAAAAUUGAAGGAAAUCCCCAACCAUAGUGGGCUUGGAGCUGUGAGGGAAUUCGGAGUGGCCACCCGUUCUGAAAGUUUGAUUUUCUUCUGGUGAACUGGACAUCCUUUUAAUUACGUUUGAGGUUUUGGGCUUUUAAAUGUAAUAAGGCCGCUUAUUUAUUUUUGAUGGUUUUUAAUAUGUAUUACUAAGAUAGGUAAUACUUAUUUUAAUUGUUGAAAUUGGAUAGCUUUAGGGCGCGUUUUCAAAAACAA